CCUUUAUACAAAUUGAAUACUUAUUUAAACGGAAGGCAAAAUUUGGUAAUAUCAUUACAUAGUUGAAUCGAUUUGAUGAACUUUGGCAACGGUAUUCGGAUGGUUUUGUUGUUGUAGCAAUUGUUGUACACUGAGGCGGCAGCCCUUGUCGAUGAAUGAUUCCAUCGGGUCAAUCCGAUACGUACAACCGGCUGCCAUUGAAUUGCUAAUAGUUUUAUUUGUAUGGAAGACUGAACCCCGAAUUUAAAAUCUUCAGCUCCCAAAAGACGUAUUUAAUGUCAGGAGCCAUGGACGAUUCGGAACAAAGUUUCUGGACUGAACCAUAUCAACUACCAAUUA